AGGCUAUGAUGAGGGCAUUCUUGGAGUAGAUCCUUAAAUCUUUCAAUAAGUUUAAAAAAGGACUCACUAGGUUUUUACCUAAAUUGAAGGAUAUCACUUCCAAGCUU